rnacentral:lncRNA from 1 species
AAUACGAGUAGUCACUUGAUAUCUACCUUUUAUCGUGACAUAUUCGAUGCUAAAGUAAUGUGAAUAGUUCUUGAAUCUGUGAUAUCUCGACUGUUCAUAAUGAGAUUGCUAUUAUUUGACUACACCAUAACUCGAUCUCUUAAUCAUGUGAAAUCUUAAGAUGUAUAUUAGCUGUAGUAGAUUUAUUAUAGGAAUAAGUUGUGUUUCUAUAUGAGAUCUAUCAAUCUUCAUGCA